GACGAACGCUGGCGGCGUGCUUAAAACAUGCAAGUCGAACGGACUUCUCAUGAAGCUUGCGAUUGAGAAGUUAGUGGCGGACGGGUGAGUAACGCGUGGGCAACCUGCCCCUGAGCCCGGGAUAACAGUUCGAAAGGACUGCUAAGACCGGAUAUACUUGCGGUGAAGCAUUUCACUGCAAGGAAAGGGAACGCUCAGGGAUGGGCCCGCGUCCCAUUAGCUAGUUGGUGAGGUAACGGCCCACCAAGGCGACGAUGGGUAGCCGGCCUGAGAGGGUGAACGGCCACACUGGGACUGAGACACGGCCCAGACUCCUACGGGAGGCAGCAGUUGGGAAUCUUCGGCAAUGGGCGCAAGCCUGACCGAGCAACGCCGCGUGAGUGAUGAAGGUUUUCGGAUUGUAAAGCUCUGUCUUCCGGGACGAUAAUGACGGUACCGGAGGAGGAAGCCACGGCUAACUACGUGCCAGCAGCCGCGGUAAGUCAUACUCGUA
rnacentral:rRNA from 1 species